rnacentral:rRNA from 1 species
AUUGAACGCUGGCGGCAGGCCUAACACAUGCAUGUCGAACGAGUGGCGGACGGGUGAGUAAUGUCUGGGAAACUGCCUGAUGGAGGGGGAUAACUACUGGAAACGGUAGCUAAUACCGCAUACCAUCAAAUGUGCACAGAUGGGAUUAGCUAGUUGGUGGGGUAACGGCGCACCAAGGCCACGAUCCCUAGCUGGUAUGCGUGGAUGACCAGUCACACGGGAACUGAGACACGGUCCAGACUCCUACGGAAGUCAGCGAUGGGGAAUAUUGCACAAUGGGCGCAAGCCUGAUGCAGCCAUGCCGCGUGUAUGAAGAAGGCCUUCGGGUUGUAAAGUACUUUCAGCGGGGAGGCGUUACCCGCAGAAGAAGCACCGACUAACUCCGUGCCAGCAGCCGCGGUAAUUC